AUAUUGACCUUCUGCAACCUUCAAGUACAAACGGCUUGAAUAGCCGCACCCAUCCCAUGCAACAAGAUGGUCGGUUCCGCGGACAGACAGCAGUGUUGUAUAGAUUUAUGACUUUGUAAUUGUAUUCGCGGGUCGUGGGGAGCGCCACUGUGUCAAUCCUCGUGGAUUUCCCAAGAUCCGUGAUCACAGUUACUACUUUAUCGUCAUGCCUUUCCAGAACGCAUGCGCACUGCGCAUGGUUAUUUAUCACAGUUUCUUUUUGGCCAUCACGGCCUUUCACUCUUCCCUCACUCUUUUUCUUCUUAAUAAAGUAUGAAUUCUUAGCAAAAAUUAAGAACAAGCGAAAAGGCAUGCAAUGAUAAUAUCUUUCAAAUAGGAAGAUGUCCGUGUAUAUCAUACAUUGUGCUGAAUAGAAUUUUUCUUAGAAAUUGGGAUGCUUGUUCAAUCUAUAAAUACCCUCAAAAUAUCUUUUCAACAACAAUUUAGGCGGAAAACUAUGGUACACCGAACUCAAGACUGUAGAAACAAUGUAAAAAGAUGUUUAACUGUUGUGUCUGUGUAUAACGUCAACCGUUUGCCGUAUUACCAUCAAUUAGCCGUUGGCAGUGGGGCACAGUGAAGGGAAAAAUAACUUUAUAUUACAUAUAUACAGAUAUAAAUACAACUGUAU
rnacentral:sRNA from 1 species